CCCACACCACCAGCUAAGGUCCCAAAAUAUAUGUUAAGUGGAAAAGGAUGUGGCGUUGCCCAGACAACUAGGAUGUUGGCUUAGAAGCAGCCAUCAUUUAAAGAGUGCGUAAUAGCUCACUAGUCGAGUGACACUGCGCCGAAAAUGUACCGGGGCUAAACAUAUUACCGAAGCUGUGGAUUGUCCUUUGGACAAUGGUAGGAGAGCGUUCUAAGGGCGUCGAAGCAUGAUCGCAAGGACAUGUGGAGCGCUUAGAAGUGAGAAUGCCGGUGUGAGUAGCGAAAGACGGGUGAGAAUCCCGUCCACCGAUUGACUAAGGUUUCCAGAGGAAGGCUCGUCCGCUCUGGGUUAGUCGGGUCCUAAGCUGAGGCCGACAGGCGUAGGCGAUGGAUAACAGGUUGAUAUUCCUGUACCACCUAGUAUCGUUUUAAUCGAUGGGGGGACGCAGUAGGAUAGGCGAAGCGUGCUGUUGGAGUGCACGUCCAAGCAGUAAGGCUGAGUGUUAGGCAAAUCCGGCACUCAUAAGGCUGAGCUGUGAUGGGGAGAGGAAAUUGUUUCCUCGAGUCGUUGAUUUCACACUGCCGAGAAAAGCCUCUAGAUAGAUAACAGGUGCCCGUACCGCAAACCGACACAGGUAGUCAAGAUGAGAAUUCUAAGGUGAGCGAGCGAACUCUCGUUAAGGAACUCGGCAAAAUGACCCCGUAACUUCGGGAGAAGGGGUGCUCUUUAGGGUUCACGCCCAGAAGAGCCGCAGUGAAUAGGCCCAAGCGACUGUUUAUCAAAAACACAGGUCUCUGCUAAACCGUAAGGUGAUGUAUAGGGGCUGACGCCUGCCCGGUGCUGGAAGGUUAAGAGGAGUGGUUAGCUUCUGCGAAGCUACGAAUCGAAGCCCCAGUAAACGGCGGCCGUAACUAUAACGGUCCUAAGGUAGCGAAAUUCCUUGU
rnacentral:rRNA from 1 species